UUUUAUUGAUAAAAUAAAAUGAGUGGGAAAAGCUUGCGUUGAAAAAUUGUAGACAAGUAUAUUUUGGUAAUGUUUGAUAAUUUCAGUUACCUCCCUUGCCAAAUGAAUAUUUGGAGGCUUAAAAACUUAAGAAAAAAAUAAAAGCAAUAAAUUGUCAACUAUAAAUAAUUCAUAUAAAAUCAGCUUAAUUGUUUAUGAUAGACAUAAUUUUUUUUAACGCUGAAAUAUAUUUUUAAAAAAUAUUCAGUGCGGGUAUAUUUUCAAAACCAAUGUAAACAAAGAUGGCCGCCACUAACGUCUGUGCACAGCAUGCUGCCAGAUUUGAUUGUUUUUCGGUGUUUUGGUGAUGUUGUCUUAAUCUCAAAUACCAUUGGAAGUUAAAUCAGGUCGCCAAUAAUAGUAAGCAUCCCGAACAUUUUAUUGAAACUGAGAUGAAUUACUGUUACCAGACGAAUUUCAACAAGUCAGCCAACAAAUUAUGCAGCUAUGGGUACAUCGAUGUACACAUCCACUCCUCAUAAAAAAAGGCAAGAGGUGUUCACCUGAUGACGACAGAGGAAUGUUAUUUCUUGACAAAUGGGUAGUUCAAGAGGGGUCAGAGAAGUGCAAAUGAAUUAUUCUUCUGGAAAGUACUGUCCUUCUAUAUUUAAACUUGGAUAAAACAUAGAAGAAAAAAAACCUACAAGAUUGCUGAAAGAAAAAAAACCCAUCAAGUUGCUUGGCAUGAUGGAUCUGGAUGACUUUUACAGCAUCUAAUAUCAUGGGUAAAAAUGAUAUUCCUGCAUAUGAAACAGUGAAAGUGUGCCGAAUAAGAAAGAAGAUCAAGAAGGGGGUUCAGGGAUUAUGUGAAGCAGUAAUUUGAAAGGAUAUAUUUAGAUGGCAGAGAAACUAACUAGAUUUGCAAGUCAUUAUAUAAAUUGCCACAUUCAUUUAAAUUAACCAAUGUUUUCCUAAGGAGUGGUUGAAUAUCCAGAAGAUAUCACUUGGAAUUUGUUUUUCUCAAUUUAAUCAUCUGCACACUGCACAUUUUUCUUCAAUGAAUAAAAGAUGCAAACAAGACUAAAAUAAGAUGCUUUGAAGUUUGUCGGAUUGACCACAUAAGAGAGAGAGAGAGAGAGAGAGAGAGAGAGAGAGAGAGAGAGAGAGAGAGAGAGAGAAGUUGAAUGAACUUGUCUUCAUGCAUCAUGCACUGUAUGAACAUGUUAUCAUUUAGCAUUUUAAUGCUCAAUAAAUUGUUAAAUUGUUA